rnacentral:rRNA from 1 species
AUGAAGCUCUCCAUCCGCAACAUCCAACCUUGCAUGGAGUCAAUGACAUCACGCAGAGGCUGGACCGUCUCCUCAACCCGGAAGGAAGCCAUACCAAGGAGCUCAGAGCGCAGCAACUCGGCCUGCCUCUCCAAGGCAGGCUGCACUGGGAAAUCCGCCGAGGACACGGAGCCAACAGGAGAAGCAACGAUUGAUGCCCAAGAAUCACGACCAAACGUCUUCGAGAGGGACGAGGCUUCUUUCUGGUGCUUGCGAGGAGCUGGAGCUUGUUGCUGCCGGACUGGGAGGCGAGGCAAUGGUGACAGAGUAGGACUUCCCAAAAAGCUGAGGGGACGCCAGGCAUUGCGGCACUCACGUGCCCGAUGA